rnacentral:rRNA from 1 species
CAGCAGCCGCGGGAAUACGAAGGGUGCAAGCGUUAAUCGGAAUUACUGGGCGUAAAGCGUGCGUAGGCGGUGAGUUAAGUCUGCUGUGAAAUCCCCGGGCUCAACCUGGGAAUGGCAGUGGAUACUGGCUCGCUAGAGUGUGUCAGAGGAUGGUGGAAUUCCCGGUGUAGCGGUGAAAUGCGUAGAGAUCGGGAGGAACAUCAGUGGCGAAGGCGGCCAUCUGGGACAACACUGACGCUGAGGCACGAAAGCGUGGGGAGCAAACAGGAUUAGAUACCCGGGUAGUCCCCGUCUCUUAUAC